GACGAACGCUGGCGGCGUGCUUAACACAUGCAAGUCGAACGGUAAGGCCCUUCGGGGUACACGAGUGGCGAACGGGUGAGUAACACGUGGGUGAUCUGCCCUGCACUUCGGGAUAAGCCUGGGAAACUGGGUCUAAUACCGGAUAGGACCACUGCCUGCAUGGGUGGUGGUGGAAAGCUUUUGCGGUGUGGGAUGGGCCCGCGGCCUAUCAGCUUGGUGGUGGGGUGAUGGCCUACCAAGGCGACGACGGGUAGCCGGCCUGAGAGGGUGACCGGCCCCACUGGGACUGAGAUACGGCCCAGACUCCUACGGGAGGCAGCAGUGGGGAAUAUUGCACAAUGGGCGCAAGCCUGAUGCAGCGACGCCGCGUGAGGGAUGACGGCCUUCGGGUUGUAAACCUCUUUCAGCACCGACGAAGCGCAAGUGACGGUAGGUGCAGAAGAAGGACCGGCCAACUACGCGCCAGCCGCCGCCGUAA
rnacentral:rRNA from 1 species